GACGAACGCUGGCGGCGUGCUUAACACAUGCAAGUCGAACGGUAAGGCCCUUCGGGGUACACGAGUGGCGAACGGGUGAGUAACACGUGGGUGAUCUGCCCUGCACUUCGGAUAAGCCUGGGAAACUGGGUCUAAUACCGGAUAGGACCACUGCCUGCAUGGGUGGUGGUGGAAAGCUUUUGCGGUGUGGGAUGGGCCCGCGGCCUAUCAGCUUGUUGGUGGGGUGAUGGCCUACCAAGGCGACGACGGGUAGCCGGCCCGAGAGGGUGACCGGCCACACUGGGACUGAGAUACGGCCCAGACUCCUACGGGAGGCAGCAGUGGGGAAUAUUGCACAAUGGGCGCAAGCCUGAUGCAGCGACGCCGCGUGAGGGAUGACGGCCUUCGGGUUGUAAACCUCUUUCAGCACCGACGAAGCGCAAGUGACGGUAGGUGCAGAAGAAGGACCGGCCAACUACGUGCCAGCCGCCGCCGUAA
rnacentral:rRNA from 1 species